GACGAACGCUGGCGGCGUGCUUAACACAUGCAAGUCGAGCGGAGCGGCGAACGGGUGAGUAACGCGGGAGUAACUGCCCCCCUCUCUGGGAUAACAGUUGGAAACGGAUGCUAAUAACGGAUAGUGGGGGAUGACUCGGGUCCUAUCAGCUUGUGGGUGGGGUAGUGGCCUCCCGAGGCGACGACGGGUAGACGGCCUGAGAGGGCGACCGGCCACAUUGGGCUGAGAUACGACCCAGACUCCUACGGGAGGCAGCAGUGGAGAAUAGUGCACAAUUGGGGAAACCCUGAUGCAGCAACGCCGCGUGCGGAAUGACGGCCUUCGGGUUGUAAACCGCUUUCAGCCAUGACGCGGUAGUGGCAGUAGAAGCACCGGCUAACUACGUGCCAGCAGCCGCGGUAAUAC
rnacentral:rRNA from 1 species